CCUACGGGGGGCUGCAGUUAGGAAAUUUUGCCAAUGGGGGAAACCCUGAGCGAGUAACGCCGCGUGGAGGAUGACGGCCUUCGGGUUGUAAACUCCUUUUCUGUGGGACGAUGAUGACGGUACCACAGGAAUAAGCCCCGGCUAACUACGUGCCAGCAGCCGCGGUAAUACGUAGGGGGCGAGCGUUGUCCGGAAUUACUGGGCGUAAAGAGCGCGUAGGCGGCUCGAUAAGUUCCGUGUGAAAGCUCCCGGCUCAACUGGGAAGCGUCGUGGAAAACUGUCGAGCUGGAGUGUCGGAGAGGGAAGUGGAAGUCCCGGAGUAGGGGUGAAAUCCGUAGAGACCGGGCCGAACACCAGUGGCGAAGGCGACUUCCUGGCCGACGACUGACGCUGAGGCGCGAAAGCGUGGGGAGCGAACGGGAUUAGAUACCCCGGUAGUC
rnacentral:rRNA from 1 species